rnacentral:lncRNA from 1 species
AAAUACGGGUUCCAUACCACGGGAUCAGACUUCACCAUACCGUUUUUGGGAAGGCAUAACCAAAAUCCAUCAUCAUCAGAUACCAUGAUAUGGUUAAGUUGACCUAUUAGCUUUUUGGAUAGCUCAACUAAGCCUUGUUUUCUCUUAAGGAGACUCCCUGGAGAUCGACCCUCACUAAGGUGGGGGUAUUGGAUUUAGAAGUUUGAUAGAAUUUGAAAGAAUUAUGGUUUCCAUUAAAUUCUAGUGUUAUUCAAUUGUGUAUUUUAUCAAUUCUUUUAAAUUCUUGUGUUAUUCAAUUGCGUAUUUUACCAAUUCAUUUAAAUUCUAGUGUUAUUCAAUAUUUGCAAGAUUUAAUAGGAAUGUUAUUUGAAAGGAAUUUAAUGGAAAAUGUAAUGUAAAAUGCAAAGGAUCAAUUCCUUGCUUUUAUGAAGGGAUUUGUUAUUUUUAGAACCAAUUUGACCCCACGGUAACCCACUACGUCUUUAGAAGACAUAUCACCUACACCAGCCCAAUUACAUGUCUCUCCUCUUCCAAAACCGGAACCGAAAAACUGAACUAGAACC